rnacentral:rRNA from 1 species
UACAGAGGUCUCAAGCGUUGUUCGGAUUCAUUGGGCGUAAAGGGUGCGUAGGUGGCGCUGUAAGUCGGGUGUGAAAUUUCGGAGCUUAACUCCGAAACUGCAUUCGAUACUGCGGUGCUUGAGGACUGGAGAGGAGACUGGAAUUCAUGGUGUAGCAGUGAAAUGCGCAGAUAUCAGGAGGAACACCGGUGGCGAAGGCGGAUCUCUGGGCCAGUACUGACACUGAGGAGCGAAAGCGUGGGGAGCGAACAGG